UACGGGGGGGGCAAGCGUUGUUCGGAAUUACUGGGCGUAAAGGGCUCGUAGGCGGCCAACUAAGUCAUACGUGAAAUCCCCCGGCUUAACCUGGGAACUGCGUCUGAUACUGGGAGGCUUGAGUAUGGGAGAGGGAUGUAGAAUUCCAGGUGUAGCGGUGAAAUGCGUAGAUAUCUGGAGGAAUACCGGUGGCGAAGGCGGCAUCCUGGACCAUUACUGACGCUGAGGCGGCGAAAGCUAGGGGAGCAAACGGG
rnacentral:rRNA from 1 species